rnacentral:rRNA from 1 species
GGGAGGCUUACAUGGCAGUCGAGGGGGCAUCGGGAGGGAAGCUUGCUUUCCUUGCCGGCGACCGGCGCACGGGUGAGUAACACGUAUGCAACCUGCCCUCUUCAGGGGGACAACCUUCCGAAAGGGAGGCUAAUCCCGCGUAUAUCGGUUUCGGGCAUCCGAGAUCGAGGAAAGAUUCAUCGGAAGAGGAUGGGCAUGCGGCGCAUUAGCUUGACGGCGGGGUAACGGCCCACCGUGGCGACGAUGCGUAGGGGUUCUGAGAGGAAGGUCCCCCACACUGGUACUGAGACACGGACCAGACUCCUACGGGAGGCAGCAGUGAGGAAUAUUGGUCAAUGGGAGAGAUCCUGAACCAGCCAAGCCGCGUGAGGGAAGACGGCCCUAUGGGUUGUAAACCUCUUUUGUCGGAGAACAAGACCCGGGACGUGUCCCGGACUGCGUGUAUCCGAAGAAAAAGCAUCGGCUAACUCCGUGCCAGCAGCCGCGGUAAUACGGAGGAUGCGAGCGUUAUCCGGAUUUAUUGGGUUUAAAGGGUGCGUAGGCGGUCCGUUAAGUCAGCGGUAAAAUUGCGGGGCUCAACCCCGUCGAGCCGUUGAAACUGGCAGACUUGAGUUGGCGAGAAGUACGCGGAAUGCGCGGUGUAGCGGUGAAAUGCAUAGAUAUCGUGCANAACUCCGAUUGCGAAGGCAGCGUACCGGCGCCAGACUGACGCUGAGGCACGAAAGCGUGGGGAUCGAACAGGAUUAGAUACCCUGGUAGUCCACGCAGUAAACGAUGAAUGCUGGUUGUCCGGGUCGAAU